rnacentral:rRNA from 1 species
AGUGAACGCUGGCGGCAUGCCUAACACAUGCAAGUCGAACGGCAGCACAGUAACUGCUUGCGCUUACGGGUGGCCAGUGGCGGACGGGUCACGUAUAUACCGUAAUCUACUUUUUCGUGGGGGCUAACGUAGGGAAAUUUACGCUAAUACCGCAUACGACCUAAGGGGGAAAGCAGGGGAGCUUCGGACCUUGCGCGAGGGAAUGAGCCGAUGUGCGAUUAGCUAGUGGGCGGGGUAAAGGCCCACUAAGGCGGCGAUCCGUAGCUGGUCUGAGAGGAUGGUCACCCAGCCUGGAAGUGAGACAGGGCCCAGACACCUGCGCUAGGACACAGUCCAGAAUACUAGGCAAUGGGGGCGAGCCUGAUACAGGCCUACCGCGUGAGUGAUGAAGGCGCUCGGCUGGUAAAGCCCUUUUGUUGGUAGAGAAGUACAGCUGGUUAAUACGCCGCGGUACUGACGGUACCUGGAGAAUAAGCACCGGCUAACUUCGUG